ACGAACGUCCGGCGCCGCCGUCGUAUUCUUUUUUUUUUCACGAUCUUUUUACUCGGUAAUUUAUUCACAGGCGUAUGUGCGUGACUCGGGAAGGGGUGGGAGAAGCUAAACCGCUAAAAGCCCGACACGACGUCCGCAACUGAUUGAAAACCACUCAACAGCUUUUCUGACUAAAUGUGUAUGCGGUAUAAUAUUAUAUAAUAUUAUUGCUAACUUUGUAUAACUUUAGUUACAAACAUUAAUCAACAUAGAAGAGAACUAAGAGAAGAUUAAGUGGAAUCACACGAAUGACACGAAGAGAAGACAAUUUAUUGACAAAACUUAAACAUUUAAAAUGUAGGAAAAUUGUUUUCCUUUUCUAUUUUAUUUCUUAUUUUUUCUUAUAACUUACAUAAAGAGAUCUCUAUUCCAGUUUCUUUUAAAGUGAUGGUGAAUUUUCGUGGUUAUGUAAAGGACAUUUUUAACGAAAGGGUUUGUAUACGACUAUGAGUACUGGUCUAAUGAUUGAUUUAUACUUGAAUAGUUAAUUAUUAAAACAAAUGUUAGAUUUUAAUGUAGGUCGAAGUAGGUGGAGGCGAAAGUUAAGUUGUUUUCGUUAUUGUUUAAUGUGAUUUGAUGAUGUUAACCUUUUAUCCAGAGUGAUACCAAUAAAUACUAAGGCAUUUUGUAAAUUGAUGAAGUAGAAUUUUUUUGUUGUUAAAUACAAGGGACAUUCCUUUUUCUUAAGAGAGAAAAAAAUAA